AAGUAAGGUAAGAAUCUGUGGUUCGAUUCCUGGCUCCCCUGGCUCAUUUGCCGACGUGUCCUUGGGCAAGACACUGAACCCCAAUUUGGCCACCCUACCGGAGAAGCCCCUUGUUUAAUAAAUCAUUUUGAAAUCACACGCUCAUUGUCUAUCAAGACAUGAAUGCAAAAUCCAACCAAUGAGUAAAUUAAUAAAUUAUGAGUCAAUAAAUAAAACAUGAGUGAAAAAAAAAAUACACACAGUUUCUGCUCAGCAGUUUCAACUGAAAGGUGGCGUUGGUGCAAAGAGGAGCUGCAACGCCAACCUCCACCUGUGGGAGCAGCACUGAGCCAAAAGACGAAGGAGGAGGAAGAAGAAGAAGAAGCUCUAACUCACUGCAGAAGCCAUGUGCUGAUAACAGAAUCAUAAAAGCAGCCUCCAGGAGCCUCUCAUCAACUCAGACCAAGAGCUGCUCCCGUUCUUUGGUUGCCAGACACACUGACCUGCAGCGGACCAGGGGAAACACUGGUGACACCGCAGCAUUGGAACGCCACGCGAACUACACGUGCAGGGGCAUCGGCUCCACGUUUCGGUGCGUCUUUGUAGCAAAGUCCACACUCCGGAAAGAAUCAGUUCAAUUUGCGGUUGAGUCAUGCGCUAACUUUAACAUAUAGUCAUCAUUUUACGCAAACACUAAAAUGAGAGAGUCUGAUUAUGAUCCAGAUCACCUUUUGUCCUUUGCUUCAUGUUGAACAAAGCAGCAGCAACUUGUGUUGAAGUACAGUAGCAUCUGAGGGUCUAUACAUUCACAUGUCUAUACAUAUAUAUGUCUUUAUUUUGCUGGUUUAAUGCUAUCAUCAGUGUUUAGAGGUAUUUAUUUUUAUAAAAAAUGUAAU
rnacentral:lncRNA from 1 species